AUAUAAUAAAGUAUACGUUUUAGAGUAUUCUAUAGGUCUUUGUUAACGAUGGCAUCAAUCAUUACAGUGGUUCAUUUUGACAAAACGAAACACGUUUGUUCUCGGCGGUGUCGUUGGAAGUAGAUAACCCGGCUGUGAAGAGCUUCCUGAAAUGGCGUCUUCGAGUAAACAGACAAAAAGUUUUCGUCUGCUCUGAGAAGAGGGGAACAAGAAAAUAGCAAAGUCCACAGGGUCUGCUUUGCAGAUCAGUUUUCGAUUAAAAGGCUUUUGAAAGCUUUCUUUGGACAAUGAUUUUUUUUCGUUGCUUUUCUUUUAGUUCUUAAACUAUACAAACUAUUGGACACAUUUUCAAAGCAAAUUUUACUUGAUUACUCAAGUGUAAAACGAUGGUUUCGUCAGGGAUAGAUGACUGGGUAGAACUCUUUGCCAUGUUAGCUGCACCGUAAUUGAAGGACACUGGUCGGGUACAUUUUGAUCCGCUAAAUCUUCAUCAAAACACCUGUCACGGACCUCUCUCUCUGGCGGUGUCGUCGGUCGAGCGCUCCAUGCAAUCCACGACAGAGGACAAGGUGCGAUGGUGCCGGCACGGC